GUAAGCGUAUAGGGAAACUUGUACGUAGACAACGGCUUGACCGUUGCAAUAUACUACUUGAAUUGCUGGAAACCCGUAAAGCUUAACUCACUACAACGUAAAAUUGAAAUAAAUUUAAGCGUGAAUGUAGCGAAAGCAGAAAAAAGAAGUUAAGAUGACCUAUGGUUAAAUCCUAAAGGUUAUAAACAAUCGGCAAUCAGCAGGUAAGCUCCGAACAGGAGAAACUUCAACGACUAGACCUCUUGAGGGUCGUACCACGCAAGCUAUUGGCGUGGGAAGUGGGUAGCCCCUAACGUGUAAUGGCGAGGGAGAAGAUAUAGUCUGUGCUUGUGCGAAAGCAUAAG
rnacentral:ncRNA from 1 species